rfam:Clostridium sp. CAG:470 genomic scaffold, scf17
GUUAUAAUAUUAAUUGAUGGUGCAUUAUUCUAGUCGUACUUAAACUUACGAGGGUGGGGCUAAAAAUCCACUAAAGGGCACAUCGUUGAAGUUUCUUGUUUGUGCGCGAAAUGCCAGUUUUGUGUGUAACCAGGGAGUAAAGGGGUUAGGGUAAUAUAUAAUGGCAUAUAUGUGAUUCCCUAGUUUCGCGGAGGCUUAAAUAGAAAAAUUUAAGUUAAACCUAUGUUGAGUGCCAAGACACAAAAUACAUAGUGUAGCCUGUCUCGAGUGAGUGUAUUGGGAUUAAUUUGACGGGAAUGAAGAUUGUUCGGCCAAAUAAUUUUUAUUCUGGAUUAUGAAAUUAUACUUGCAAAAAAGACUAGUAAGUUUGUAAAAGUAUGUCAAGGAAAACUUCUAGAAUGUUUGCUUUAUCAAAAGCUUGAAAAUCUGGGGAUUAAGGUACGGAUUUAAGUGGCGAUCUGGUGGCUAAAAUAAAUUUAGCUGGUUCCCUUAAACGGAAACGGUUCUAGCAGUAAUGCUAAGCGGGAAGUAGAGAAAUUCAACCAGACCUAAACCGUAAAAUUUACUUAGAUUUUUACCAUCUAUAUUUUAAUUUAG